CGGGCGCGGUGGUGCCUACCUGUAGUCCCAGCUACUCGGGAGACUGAGGUGGGAGGAUCGCUUGAGCUCAGGAUUUCUGGGCUGUAGUGGGCUAUGCCAGUCGGGUGUCCGCACAAAGUUCGGCAUCAAUAUGGUGACCUCCCGGGAGCGGGGGACCACCAGGUUGCCUAAAGAGAGGUGAACGGGCCCAGGUCGGAAAUGGAGCAGGUCAAAACUCCAGUGCUGAUCAGUAGUGGGAUUGCGCCUGUGAAUAGCCACUGUACUCCAGCCUUGGAGAACAUAGGGAGACCCGGUCUCUU
rnacentral:SRP_RNA from 1 species